rnacentral:lncRNA from 1 species
AUAAUCAUAGACAAAUGCUACGUGGAGCUCAAAUUUGAUAUCAUGAGCAUACUCAAAAAAUAAAGGAGGAAAAUAUAAAAUUUAUUGAUAAAAGAUCUAUGGAUGUUCAUGUGUGUUUACUCAUUAUUAUAGAAAAUAUUUGAAUGCAUAAUAUAUACUUAUAUUAUUAUUUAUGAACUAUUGUAAUGUAAUGUAGAAAAAUUGAAAAGUCUUAUUGACCAGUAGUCACAGCUAGAUGGCACUCAAAUGAGUUGAGACAGUAUACUAGUUGAGGUUUUAGAUAUGAGAUCAUGGCUUUUUUGAGACAAAGGGUUG